AGAGUUUGAUCAUGGCUCAGAGUGAACGCUGGCGGCGUGCUUAACACAUGCAAGUCGAACGAGAACGGUCCUAGCUUGCUAGGAUGUCAGCUAAGUGGCGGACGGGUGAGUAAUGUAUAGUUAAUUUGCCCCUUAGAGAGGGAUAACUACUGGAAACGGUAGCUAAUACCUCAUACUCCUUCUACCUUAAUGGUAGUUGGGAAAUGUUUUUUCGCUAAGGGAUGAGACUAUAUGGUAUCAGGUAGUUGGUGGGGUAAGAGCCCACCAAGCCUAUGACGCCUAGCUGGUCUGAGAGGAUGAUCAGCCACACUGGGACUGAGACACGGUCCAGACUCCUACGGGAGGCAGCAGUGGGGAAUAUUGCACAAUGGAGGAAACUCUGAUGCAGCAACGCCGCGUGGAGGAUGACGCAUUUCGGUGUGUAAACUCCUUUUAUAUGGGAAGAUAAUGACGGUACCAUAUGAAUAAGCACCGGCUAACUCCGUGCCAGCAGCCGCGGUAAUACGGAGGGUGCAAGCGUUACUCGGAAUCACUGGGCGUAAAGCGCGCGCAGGCGGCCAUUUAAGUUGGAUGUGAAA
rnacentral:rRNA from 1 species